ACGCUGGCGGCAGGCCUAACACAUGCAAGUCGAGCGGUAGAGAGAAGCUUGCUUCUCUUGAGAGCGGCGGACGGGUGAGUAAUGCCUAGGAAUCUGCCUGGUAGUGGGGGAUAACGUUCGGAAACGGACGCUAAUACCGCAUACGUCCUACGGGAGAAAGCAGGGGACCUUCGGGCCCUUGCGCUAUCAGAUGAGCCUAGGUCGGAUUAGCUAGUUGGUGAGGUAAUGGCUCACCAAGGCGACGAUCCGUAACUGGUCUGAGAGGAUGAUCAGUCACACUGGAACUGAGACACGGUCCAGACUCCUACGGGAGGCAGCAGUGGGGAAUAUUGGACAAUGGGCGAAAGCCUGAUCCAGCCAUGCCGCGUGUGUGAAGAAGGUCUUCGGAUUGUAAAGCACUUUAAGUUGGGAGGAAGGGUUGUAGAUUAAUACUCUGCAAUUUUGACGUUACCGACAGAAUAAGCACCGGCUAACUCUGUGCCAGCAGCCGCGGUAAUACAGAGGGUGCAAGCGUUAAUCGGAAUUACUGGGCGUAAAGCGCGCGUAGGUGGUUUGUUAAGUUGGAUGUGAAAUCCCCGGGCUCAACCUGGGAACUGCAUUCAAAACUGACUGACUAGAGUAUGGUAGAGGGUGGUGGAAUUUCCUGUGUAGCGGUGAAAUGCGUAGAUAUAGGAAGGAACACCAGUGGCGAAGGCGACCACCUGGACUAAUACUGACACUGAGGUGCGAAAGCGUGGGGAGCAAAC
rnacentral:rRNA from 1 species